rnacentral:rRNA from 1 species
GAUGAAUGCUGGCGGCGUGCCUAAUACAUGCAAGUCGAGCGAACAGACGAGGAGCUUGCUCCUCUGACGUUAGCGGCGGACGGGUGAGUAACACGUGGAUAACCUACCUAUAAGACUGGGAUAACUUCGGGAAACCGGAGCUAAUACCGGAUAAUAUAUUGAACCGCAUGGUUCAAUAGUGAAAGACGGUUUUGCUGUCACUUAUAGAUGGAUCCGCGCCGCAUUAGCUAGUUGGUAAGGUAACGGCUUACCAAGGCAACGAUGCGUAGCCGACCUGAGAGGGUGAUCGGCCACACUGGAACUGAGACACGGUCCAGACUCCUACGGGAGGCAGCAGUAGGGAAUCUUCCGCAAUGGGCGAAAGCCUGACGGAGCAACGCCGCGUGAGUGAUGAAGGCCUUCGGAUCGUAAAACUCUGUUAUUAGGGAAGAACAAAUGUGUAAGUAACUAUGCACGUCUUGACGGUACCUAAUCAGAAAGCCACGGCUAACUACGUG